AUGGUUGUCCACUUGUUCAUUGUGGCCAUCUUGGCCCCUGUGGGCCAAGCUCUUCAGCAAUCAUCAGACACAGUUGUGCAAGUGGGAGACUCUGUGACUCUGACCUGUUCUGAAAAGGAGAGUGUAUUUGCAAGCAUGUACUGGUACAAGUUGCCCAUGGGGAAGGAUGCUACUCUUCAGCUAGUUGUAUACUCUGUCGAAGGUGGCAUGGCAGAGAUUGAGAAGGAAUUCAGAAACCACUUUAAGAGUAAUGGGACUAAGAGCAACCGCUUAUCUGUGGAGAUAGACCAUGCCCUACUCAAUGACUCAGGGACAUAUUUCUGUUCUAAUCAAAACCCACAUGUGAAUAGUGAAAGACUGUACUUUGGCAGUGGAACAAAACUCACAGUCCUAGGGAAGAAUGAUAAAAUUACACCUCCAACUGUGGCCAUCUUUUCCCCAUCAAAGCAAGAGAUCCAACAGAAGAGCAAGGCCACACUGGUAUGCCUGGCCUCUGGUUUCUAUCCUGACCACAUGAAACUAUUCUGGAAGGUGAAUGGUGCUGAAAGAACAGAAGGGGUGGGGACAGAUGAGUUUUCCACACAGAAUGAAGGUACCUACUCAUUGACCAGCCGACUGAGGAUCUCAGCCCAGGAAUGGUUCAACCCUUUGAAUCGUUUUGAGUGUGUUGCAACUUUUUUUAAGAAUGGAACACUGGAAUCGAUAAACAAAUUCAUCUAUGGUGAUGCUGGUUGUGCACUCACGGAAGAGUCCUACUUGAGGUAUGGAAAUUCUCUGAAGCUCACUUACCUCAUUCUCUGUGGCAAAGCUUUGCUCUAUGCAGUUUUCGUGAGCAGUCUGGUGUGGACAGCCAAGGCAGGUGGCAAGUUAUAUAGAGAAUAAAGGAAGAGUGCUUUUCAUCACAUCAUCCGUAACAUAUCAAAUUAUACUUUCUACUUUUCCUUAGCAAAGGAUCUAUGCUUCUGUCUAAGAACUUCUGAAUAUUAUUUCUUGGUGAUUCUCUGUCACCCUCCUAUUCUUUCCACAUUGUUAUAAUCAAUGAUGGGUUUUCCUUGCACUUCCAUAUCAUAUUGUA